rnacentral:sRNA from 1 species
GAAUGUCCGGAGCCCGCCUCAUCACUCAUCUUGUGCACACACUCAAAAGUGGCCAAAUCGGAGUUGCUGCCAUUUGCAAUGGAGGUGGUGGCUCAAGUGGAAUGGUUAUCCAGAAAUUAUAGAUUUAUAAUUUAACUUUUUUCGUUUAAAGUUUGUUACCUUUUUUCACGAUUAGCUUGUAUUUAUGUAUUUUUCGCUCAUAUCGAAACUCCGGUAAAUAGAUUCAUUUAUUAUUUUGAUUAUCUACUUCUCUUUCAUUGGUUUCAAACCAAUUUCAGUUAUCUUUUUUUAUUCGUAUGCGAUUUUUCUAAUAAUCCAAAGUUCAGACAGUCUAUCGCAAUGUCGGAUAAAAAAGUUUUCAUUCUGAGUGGAGCUCGCACUCCCAUCGGAGCUUACCGAGGAUCUUUCGCUAACUUUGGCGCAGUUGAGCUCGGAACGGUCGCUGCAAAGGCAGCAAUUGAACGAUCAGGUUAAAUUACUGAUAAUGAAAUUUUGAAACAAAUAUUAAAUAUUUUUAGGAGUUGCUCCGGAGAAAAUCGAAGAAGUAAUUGGUGGAUGCGUACUUCCGGCCGGUCUAGGACAAAAUGUGACCCGACAGAUCUCUUUGUCGGCUGGUCUUCCAGUAACAACGCAAGCUGUUACGGUGAACAAGGUUUGCUCUUCUUCGAUGAAAGCCUUGGUGACAGCAGCUGUGGAAAUCAAAGCAGGAUAUUAUGACACUAUUCUUGUUGUUGGAACUGAAAAUAUGAGUCAAGUUCCAUUUUACGUGCCGAGAGGAGAAAUUCCAUUUGGAGGAAUCCAGAUGACAGAUGGAAUCUCGAAGGAUGGACUUGAAGAUAUUAAAGAGAAAGGUCCAAUGGGAUUAUGUGCUGAGAAGACUGUAAAAGAUUAUGGAAUUACUAGAGAAGAACAAGAUGCAUAUGCUAUUGAAAGUUAUAAAAAAGCUUCAAAUGCAUGGAGUUCUGAAAAGUUUUCGGAAGAAGUGGUACCAGUUAGUGUUAAGACUUCGAGAUCGGAAGUAGUGAUCACUGAAGAUGAGGAGUAUAAGAAACUGAUCGAGUCAAAGGUAUGCAGAAAGAAAAUGUUUAUCAAAAAUAUUAAACUUAUUUAGGUUUCCUCUUUGAAACCAGUCUUCGUUCGUGACGGCACUGGAACCAUCACACCGGCCAAUGCAUCUUCGCUUAAUGAUGGAGCUGUCGCAACUGUCGUUGUCGGAGAGAAUGCUCUUCCACAAGGAGCUCAUCCACUUGCUGAACUCGUGGCAUUUGCUGAAGCUGGAAGAGCUCCCAUUGAUUUCACCGUGGCACCAGUGGACGCCGUUCGUCUUCUUCUCAAAAAAAGCGGGCUCCAAGUUUCAGACAUUGCAUUGUGGGAGCUCAACGAAGCAUUUGCCGUCACUGUUCUUGCUUUCAUCAAAGAACUUAAUAUUGAGCCAAGUGUUGUUAAUGUAAAAGGAGGUGCAGUAGCGAUUGGGCAUCCACUUGGGUAAGUUUUUUUGUUGAUUCAAACUUCAGUGAGCGUUUUCGGAAAAAUUAGAAUGUGUACAGAGAAAAUUCUGAUAGCAAAAAAACAUUCUAAAACACAAAAACAAAACAUACAAAUUUUAAAGUAAACUUUAAGUCCGAACAAACCUAUAUUAAUUUUAAUAAUUUUCAGAAUGUCUGGUCUCCGAAUCGUCAACUCCCUUGCAUAUUCUUUAGCUCCAGGACAGCUCGGUGUAGCUGCAAUUUGCAACGGAGGAGGAGAAGCCACAGCAGUGCUCAUCAAAAAACUGUAAUAUGAACCUCUUGCCUAAAUGUUUUCUGGUCUUCUAUUCAUCAUUCCUUGAUUCACUUUUACAACAAAUUUCGAUUACGUAUUUAUAAAUAGUUAAGGUUCUUGUCACAUAAAUGUUUAUUCUCAAAUGGUGCAUACGUGUUAUUGAUUGGGAAAUGAAUUAAGGUUAAUAUGUACAUUAUCAGGAAUGGUUUUGAGCCAUCUCAAAAGAGAUAUACUGGAAAAAUCGGAAAAGCAUUUUUCUUUUGAGAUAUAUCAUUCAUUCACGUCUUCAAGGCAAAACAUAUAAGGGGAGAUCGUAUACAAAUAAUCACAGGGAAGAAUUGGUGGAUGAUAAAAUGAUCCCAUAAACCAUUAUUAGUUUGAGAGAUCAAGUUGGGGGAAUGAGAAUAUUAAGGGGGGAAGAAUUUAACCGGGAAGCAAACAUAGAGCGAUUUAAUUUUUCCGGGAUUUGCUUUGCUAGGCGGUUCCAGGUGGCGAGGUUGGCUCUGAGGAAUCCUUUGUUUGUUUCGCCAACAGAUCUGAGCAUGUAGGGGUAUCUUGGAGUUACAGCUUUCUUCACCGACGAUGACACAUUUGGGUAGUGGAAGUUUCCAGUUAUGAUGUUGUGGUAGGUGCGAAGGAUCUGCAAGACCCGCCUAUAUUGCACUGACUUCAAAUUGGCUUGGGCCAAACGAUCCUCGUAUGAAGAAUACUUUAUGUUGCAGCGUUGGAAGACGAGCCUGGUGAAGAAAUGAGAUGAAUCAAUAAAGGCUAUGAACGGGUAACUCAAUAAAGUAUCUUCCUGGACUGGGAUGAUUCCGAGAAAACAAUCACAAACGAUACGGUAAUGAAUAGGAAUCCAUUGAUUUCAUUUUAUCUGUAAUUUCAGUGUCUGACAAGAGAUCGUCGUUUCGGAAUUAUUACAGGCCCAAAUAUGGCUGGAAAGUCAACAUAUCUGAAACAAGCUGCCCAACUAGCAAUCAUGGCAUAGGUAGGAUGCUUCAUUCCAGCAAACUAUGCUUCGUUGCCAAGUAACCUAAAAGUUUUGAUUUGCUAUUUUCUAUCGUCGAAUUAAUUUCAGUUUUUAAUCGUAUCUUCUCCAGAAUGGGUCAUAACGACGAGUUGAUCAGAAAUAAGUCUGCAUUUGCAUCUGAAAUGUCAGAUGCAGCUGCAAUCGUACAGUAUGCCGAUAAAAACUCACUUGUAGUUCUUGAUGAGCUAGCACGAAGCACAUCGACUGAAGAAGGAAUCGCCAUCACCUAUGCGAUUUGUGAGAAGGUUCUAAAGUUACAUGUGCUUGUAAAAACAAAAAAACGAAUUGUAAAUUUUUAUUUUCAGAGCUAUACCUUCCUGGCUACACAUUUUCUCGAUAUUGCAGCUCUCGCCAACUAUUCAAAUGCAAUUGACAAGUGAUUCUACAACUCUACAACUAUUUCUUUCGAAACUUCUUUCUUUCAGUUACCACUUUCUUCCACAAAUUGAUGACAAUUCGACGAAAAAGCACAAGUUGUUACGUGGAUAAUAUAGAGACCAUUAUACGGUAUGAAUAAUUCAUUAUUAGCAGAAAAAGUAAAUGAUAGACCGUAGAAAAGUGUGAGAUGGGAAAUUUGGAAUCAAUAAAGGCUAUGAACGGGUAACUCAAUAAACUAUCUGUUUGUGAAAGCUUGUAGAAAAUAAACGAGUUGGACCCGAUAUAAAAAAGUAUUGAGAAAUUGGAUCUUCUAGAAAGAAUCUUCGGAUGAUGCGUAGAUCUUCUGAAUUAAUGAGGAAUGCUUGUAAAAUUGAUAACGACUGCGCUGGAAUCGGCGGUUUUCGAAAUCUCGGCUGAAAUCCUCAUUGAAGGACAACUGGCUCGACGGCUUCAUUGGGCAGUACCUGAAAUGCUCACGUUAGAAAUAUAUUGAAUAUACAGUGUGGGAAAGUUCUAUAGGACCCCCCCUAAUUUGAAGGUUUGAGGAACUUCCGAAAAUUUUUUCGAAAAACUGCUAAUGCCGUUCGUUUUUAAAUUGAAAAAAACCUAUAUAAAUUUUUUUCCAGAAGUUUAUCUCAAAAACUGAGGUCGCGCUGGAAAAAACGUCAAAAUCCAGUGUGAAACUUCUAUAGGACCCCCCGUUUUUUUUCACGAUUUUUACUAAAAUCAACAGAUUUUGGAAUUUUUGACAAAGCUCAAAUCAAGUUUGAGUUAGAAAUGAGUUCAUAUAAGCAGUUUUGACUUUAAAAAAUUAAUACGAAAUGUUCUCGUGGGAUCUCCAGACUGGUUCUGAUUCUUCCGAUCUUUGAUGUUCAAGUCUGUUUCAAGCUUCCUGGUGCUCUCGGUAAUGCCAAAACUUGAUAAACUCUCUUUAACAAGUUCCUACUAAAAUUCCUAGCACGCACUUUAGAUGUUUCGACUGUGUAGUCAAGCUGAUUUGGCAAAAUAUGCAGCAGGAAACAAUGGAAGGCUUAUCAGGAAUCAAAUCGUUUUUCUUUGAUUACAAGGUUCCAUGGGACCAAUAUUUCAAGUUAAAUUGUCCCUCACAGAUGUUAUUUACUAUUUUUUGCGUGAAUUAUUAAAUGUGGAAUUGUGGCAUGUGUUGUGGCACACAUAUAGAGGCUGGAAAGCUUACUUCGAAAGCAGUCUAACUUGCAAUGCCUCGAGGAUCUGCCCUUUCGGACACUGAACGCGCUCAGCUGGAUGUUAUGAAAUUGCUCAAUGUGUCCCUGCAUGAAAUGAGUAGGAAAAUUUCCCGUUCUCGACACUGUAUUCGCGAGUAUCUGAAGGAUCCGGUGAGCUACGGUACAUCUAAAAGAGCUCCUCGUCGCAAAGCUCUCUCCGUGCGUGACGAACGAAAUGUGAUUCGUGCUGCCUCCAACUCCUGUAAGACGGCAAGAGAUAUUCGCAAUGAGCUUCAAUUGUCUGCUUCAAAAAGGACCAUCCUCAAUGUCAUCAAACGAUCUGGUGUAAUCGUUCGUCAGAAACUUCGCCCUGCUCCGUUACUCUCUGCAGACCAUAAACUCAAGCGAUUGGAAUUUGCUAAGAACAAUAUGGGAACGAAUUGGAGUAAAGUGAGAAUUUAAAAAAGCAAGAGUGAAUAAUUAGGAUCAUUGUUUUAGGUUGUCUUCUCCGAUGAAAAGAAAUUCAAUCUCGAUGGGCCUGACGGUUGCCGCUACUAUUGGCGCGAUUUGCGCAAGGAACCAAUGGUUUUUUCGAGACGUAAUUUUGGAGGAGGAACGGUGAUGGUUUGGGGAGCGUUCACGGAGAAGAAGAAGCUUGAGAUACAGUUCGUCAGUAGCAAGAUGAACAGCACUGACUAUCAGAACGUCUUGGAACUGGAGCUCUCCAAAUAUCUUCGUCACUACUCCAGAAAAGACUUUAGAUUUCAGCAGGAUAAUGCGACAAUCCAUGUGAGCAACUCAACCCGCGACUAUUUCAAGCUCAAGAAGAUCAACCUUCUUGAUUGGCCAGCUCGAAGUCCUGAUCUCAAUCCAAUCGAAAAUUUGUGGGGGAUUCUUGUCCGUAUCGUGUAUGCUCAGAACAAGACUUACCCAACAGUUGCAUCGUUGAAGCAAGGAAUUCUCGACGCUUGGAAGUCUAUUCCGGACAACCAGCUGAAAAGUUUGGUCAGAUCAAUGGAGGACAGACUGUUUGAGAUCAUCCGCACACAAGGAAACCCGAUUAACUAUUGAUCCUUUCUUGAUUUUAGUAUAUGAAUGUUCUGUUGUUGAUCAAAAAUAACUGCAACUUGUUAAUACGCUGUUUCUGACUGGUUUCUUGGGGAUGGCGUAAAAAUGUUUAUGGUGUGUGUGCUAGGAAUUUUAGUAGGAACUUGUUAAAGAGAGUUUAUCAAGUUUUGGCAUUACCGAGAGCACCAGGAAGCUUGAAACAGACUUGAACAUCAAAGAUCGGAAGAAUCAGAACCAGUCUGGAGAUCCCACGAGAACAUUUCGUAUUAAUUUUUUAAAGUCAAAACUGCUUAUCUGAACUCAUUUCUAACUCAAACUUGAUUUGAGCUUUGUCAAAAAUUCCAAAAUCUGUUGAUUUUAGUAAAAAUCGUGAAAAAAAACGGGGGGUCCUAUAGAAGUUUCACACUGGAUUUUGACGUUUUUUCCAGCGCGACCUCAGUUUUUGAGAUAAACUUCUGGAAAAAAAUGUAUAUAGGUUUUUUUCAAUUUAAAAACGAAUGGCAUUAGCAGUUUUUCAAAAAAAUUUUCGGAAGUUCCUCAAACCUUCAAAUUAGGGGGGGUCCUAUAGAACUUUCCCACACUGUAUUUCAACUCACGUCUCGGUGUGAUUCAUUUCACCGCGAGCUCCACAAAUUUUACAUGGAGCCAAUGAGCUGAGCUUGUCGCAUUUCUUACGUGUAUGCGUUUCCCAUCGCAUAUAUCCAACGGAACGACAGUAUCCACACUGGAAAAAUAUAGAUUUUAUAUUAUUGAAAUACCAGCAAACUUACUCCAUAUUCACGCCUUUUGAACAAUGAUGGCACUUCGGGCUCGGAGCGAGUUUCUCUUGGAUUCCUCGCGAGCUCUUCAGCAGAUUCAAUCGCAAACGAUCCACUGCGAGGCUUGCUGUCAUUCAACCAAUCAUUGAACUUCCCGUACAAAUUGAAAUCCGAAGCGACAACUGAAUCGAAAAAUCCGGAAUUAUUCGUUGACAGGAAUGUCGGAAGUCGACGAUAUUCGGCAGGUGGCGGCUAAAUAAUAUUUUGAUUUUUAUUAAUUCGUAGAAGAAAAACUGUAGCAGAAACGAAUUGUCACGUUGCAUGGAAAAGUGAAUAUUUGCUACGCGUGUGUAGAGAGAGUUGAAAAUUACAAAACUGCAUUCAUAAUUUCCAUUAAUUAUUAAAAAGAACGUUCGAACGCCACGUUUUGAGUCGUGUCGCAAUCGUCUCGCAGCAUGCUACCGUGAACCAAUUCGCUGCGCGUCGGCUAGGUAGUAGAUGAUACGGAGCGAGGAGUUCAAAAUGUUUCAGUUUUAUUUUCAAUGGUUUUAAGCCUUUUUCCUCGCUUUUUGAAAUUUCCCUGAUAUAAAAUUUAUAGAACUCCCUUAUAGUUUUUUUUAAAGGAUAAUAGUCAAAUGCUUCGCAAAACCAGUGGGUCAAACAUUCGACGUACUAAGCUCGAGGCUUCAGCGGAAAUUGUUGCCAUAGACAAUAAAGUCGAUGAGGCGAAAACGACAAAGGAUCUUGAUGACGUUCUCGAACGUAUUCAGGCUCUAGUCCAGAGCGUCAUCGAUGCUCCAAAAUUGCUAGAGUCAACUGGCUACGUAAAUUCUUUGAGGGAGAUUAUGAGCAGAUAUUUCAAAGCCAAGUAAGUUGAACUCCAUAAUAAAACUAAUUUGUUUCAAAUAUAUAAAUAUUUUGAAAAUUUACGAUUCAUAUAAGUAAGCAAAUUAAACAUAUUAAGCGAGAACAAAUAAACAUCAGCCUCUUUAAAUUAUAUUUUUUACGUAUCAAUUCAAUUUCAAAGACAAAACUAGGUUGUUUCAAAAGUCUCCAAUGUCAACUCCUCCUGUAAAUUCGUCUUCUAUCUCCAAUCUUUUUUCAGAAUGUUGUCAUUGGAUGGACACGCAAUUGGCCGCGGAAUCACCACAUCUGCUGCACUAUCAAACAAAGAUGCUUUCAUUGUCGGAGCCGCCCGUACACCUAUUGGAUCAUUUCGUUCUUCUCUCUCUUCGGUAACUGCUCCAGAACUCGCCUCGGUUGCCAUCAAAGCAGCAUUGGAGCGUGGAGCAGUGAAGCCGAGUUCAAUUCAGGAGGCGAAUGUGUUCUUUGUUUGCAUUUUUCUAUACUAGUAAUAUCUGAAAUUGUCUAUCACUUCCAAAAACUUUACCGAUUCAAUCUUAAAAUGCCUCAAUUUCAGGUGUUCCUUGGUCAAGUCUGCCAUGCAAAUGCUGGCCAAGCUUCCGCUCGUCAAGCAGCUCUUGGAGCCGGACUCGAUCUUUCGGUUGCUGUUACCACCGUCAAUAAAGGAUGGUCAUCAGGAAUGAAGGCAAUCAUUCUUGCUGCCCAGCAAAUUCAAACCGGUCACCAAGAUCUGGCCAUUGGCGGAGGAAUGGAGAGCAUGUCACAAGUACCAUUUUUCCUUGCUCGAGUCGAACAGUCGUCUAACAAAUAUCAGGUAGUGAGGUAUACUUCAUAAUGCUUCAAAAAUGUGUUGUUUUUUACAGGAGCAAACUGUCCAAGACGGAAUUUCCGAUUUCUUCGACAAACAAGAACUGUGCAUCAAUGGCGAAAGAACUGUGAAGAAUUAUGGCAUAUCUCGAAAUGCCAAAACAAAUUCUCAAUUGAAAGUUGUGAAAAGACAAUUGAAGCAUGGAGGGUUUGUCUACAGGUUGUUCUUCGUAUAAUAAGAUAUUUUUUAGAACGGCAACAUUGGUCCAGAAGUGGUGGCAGUGAACGUAAAAUCGAAGAAAGGGGUGGAAGCCGUCAAACAAGAUGACAUUACGAAGAUCAAGAAGAUCAAGGAAGGCUCAGUGUAUUCAAGCAUUCCAAUUUUUCCAGGUCUGUUCAGUUUUUAUCUUCAAUAUUUAAAUUAACUUGAACAUUUCAGGCGGAACAAUUUCGGAUAAACACAUUGCCGCGUUCACAGACGGAGCAGCUGCUGUCAUUCUUGCCUCGCAGGAAGCAGUUUCCGAGCAAAACUUGAAGCCAUUGGCCAGAAUUUUGGCGUACGGAGAUGCCGCCACGCACCAACUCGAUUUCGCUGUAGCGCCGACUUUGCUGUUCCCAAAUCUUCUUCAAUCAGCAGGAGUCGAGCAAUCAGAUGUUGCUCAAUGGGAAGUUAAUGAAGCCUUCUCAUGUGUUCCCCUUGCUUUCAUCAAAAAACUAGGAGUCGAUCCAUCACUUGUGAACCCACAUGGAGGAGCUGUUUCAAUUGGUCACCCCAUCGG